UGGGGAAUAUUGCGCAAUGGCCGAAAGGCUGAGGCAGCGACGCCGCGUGGGGGAUGAAGCAUUUCGGUGUGUAAACCCCUGUUGCCCGGGACGAACAAGCGAUUUUGAUCGCUCUGACGGGACCGGGUGAGGAAGCACCGGCUAACUCCGUG
rnacentral:rRNA from 1 species